rnacentral:rRNA from 1 species
UACGUAGGUUGCAAGCGUUGUCCGGAAUUAUUGGGCGUAAAGCGCGCGCAGGCGGUUCCUUAAGUCUGUUGUGAAAUCCCCGGGCUCAACCUGGGAAUGGCAAUGGAUACUGGCAAGCUUGAGUGUGUCAGAGGAUGGUGGAAUUCCCGGUGUAGCGGUGAAAUGCGUAGAGAUCGGGAGGAACAUCAGUGGCGAAGGCGGCCAUCUGGGACAACACUGACGCUGAAGCGCGAAAGCGUGGGGAGCAAACAGG